CAGCCAUGCCGCGUGUGUGAAGAAGGCCCUCGGGUUGUAAAGCACUUUCAGUGGGGAAGAAAGCCUGGUGGUUAAUACCCGUCAGGAAGGACAUCACCCACAGAAGAAGCACCGGCUAACUCCGUGCCAGCAGCCGCGGUAAUACGGAGGGUGCGAGCGUUAAUCGGAAUUACUGGGCGUAAAGCGCGCGUAGGUGGCUUGAUAAGCCGGUUGUGAAAGCCCCGGGCUCAACCUGGGAACGGCAUCCGGAACUGUCAGGCUAGAGUGCAGGAGAGGAAGGUAGAAUUCCCGGUGUAGCGGUGAAAUGCGUAGAGAUCGGGAGGAAUACCAGUGGCGAAGGCGGCCUUCUGGACUGACACUGACACUGAGGUGCGAAAGCGUGGGUAGCAAACAGGAUUAGAUACCCUGGUAGUCCACGCCGUAAACGAUGUGUGACUAGCCGUUGGGUCCUUCGCGGACUUUGUGGCGCAGUUAACGCGAUAAGUCGACCGCC
rnacentral:rRNA from 1 species